rnacentral:rRNA from 1 species
GUCCACGCCGUAAACGAUGAGUGCUAGUUGUUGGGAAGUUUACUUCUCAGUGACGCAGCUAACGCGAUAAGCACUCCGCCUGGGGAGUACGGCCGCAAGGUUAAAACUCAAAGGAAUUGACGGGGGCCCCGCACAAGCGGUGGAGCAUGUGGUUUAAUUCGAAGCAACGCGAAGAACCUUACCAGCUCUUGACAUGGGUAUCGCGGGAUCCAGAGAUGGAUCCCUUCAGUUCGGCUGGAUACCACACAGGUGCUGCAUGGCUGUCGU